AUUUCAAGCUCUUCUGUGUCUAGAGGAAGAGCUACCCCGUGACCGGCUUAGAGAACUGGAAGAGGCCGCAACCUUUCUCCUGCUUGAAGCUGGAGGAUGGAUGGAGUCUGGAGCCCUGGAGCGUGGGACACUGUUUCGCUGUGGUUGGUGGUGGCGACAGAGCAGUAGGAGAGCGCCCGGCAGCGGGAGCUUCUCCUGCUGGGCUGGAGGACUAGGAGAAGGAAGAGGCACUGCCACAUGCUGGAGGCUGGAACCUGUGCCACCGUGGCUGGCCUGGCUCUGGUUGGUUCGCCUCGCUGUGGUUGGUGGUGACGUCGGAGACUGCAGCUCGGUCACAGUGGUAGAAAUGUGAUGGGGCUAAUCUAAAUGUUGGAACAAUCUCUCUUUAUUGAACAGAAGUUUCUCUUUGUAACCGCCAGUGCUCCUAUUUGGUUUAGUUAAUUCUGGAUUGGAUGCUA
rnacentral:lncRNA from 1 species